rnacentral:rRNA from 1 species
GACGAACGCUGGCGGCGUGCUUAACACAUGCAAGUCGAACGAAGAGCGAUGGACGCUUGCUUCUAUCAAUCUUAGUGGCGCACGGGUGAGUAACGCGUAAUCAACCUGCCCUUCAGAGGGGGACAACAGUUGGAAACGACUGCUAAUACCGCAUACGAUCUAAUCUCGGCAUCGAGGAUAGAUGAAAGGUGGCCUCUACAUGUAAGCUAUCACUGAAGGAGGGGAUUGCGUCUGAUUAGCUAGUUGGAGGGGUAACGGCCCACCAAGGCGAUGAUCAGUAGCCGGUCUGAGAGGAUGAACGGCCACAUUGGGACUGAGACACGGCCCAGACUCCUACGGGAGGCAGCAGUGGGGAAUCUUCCGCAAUAGACGAAAGUCUGACGGAGCAACGCCGCGUGAGUGAUGACGGCCUUCGGGUUGUAAAGCUCUGUUAAUCGGGACGAAAGGCCUUCUUGCGAAUAGUGAGAAGGAUUGACGGUACCGGAAUAGAAAGCCACGGCUAACUACGUG